GGUCUCCCCCCUCCAUCCAUGGUCCACAGCAGAAGGACCAUCAGUACUUGCAACUGUGUGACUAUCUGGGGUCAUUUCACAAAAGAUCAUACUUUUUAAAGCUAUUUGUUGGCAAAACUCACCUGUGAUUUCCAUAUUCUGUUGAAGGUUCAUCACCAUCUACUUACGAUAUUGUCAUGUUGUCUCUCAGUGGAAGCCUCUUACUCUUUGUCGCCAUCAGCGUAGCGAUAAGCGUUCUCCGGAGGCGCUGCACAUCGAGUUAUUCCUCCAAAGACCUCGCCACGCCUGUGGUGGUGGUGGAAAACAUCAUGGCGACCAACGGUAGCUCUGGUAAGGUUUCCACGGCGGGUUUGCCUGGCCCGGCGUGUAUCAGUUACGUUCCCGACAAGCCAAGGGUAUCCCCGGAGCUCGCCGUGGCCGAAGAGACCGUUUCCGCUUUCGAGUACCCCUUCUUCUCCUUUGCCGUCUCGAUCACGCCCCCCGACUCGGCGCCCACGGCUGAGUGAUGGCCCACGGCUUCUUCCACCAGCAGCUUCCUUCUGGAGAGAAGAGCGGGUGCAGGACACGGGGGUGUAGGCUGGCGAGGUGGUGGACUUCAUUUUCUCCACUGCAGCUUUGGACUGUGAAAGUAGUACCAUGGCAGUAUUAGAAAAUGCAGGAAAAUGGCACUUUUUUUUGUUGUUGUUGUGGAAGUGGAGAAAAAGCGUAGCUGUAUGUGUCUUAUCUCUGUGAUGUGUUAAAAAUUUACCGUAGAGACCUACAUCUUUCCCUAUUAUCUCAUUCCGGGGGAUGAGUCAGGGGGAAAAAAUGCAGGGGGAGAGGGAUUUCUCGUAGUUUUUACAAAGAUUUCCCAGUCCCUCUGACUCACACCCGAAUCCCACACGUUCUGCUUAGACCUAACCUUUUGCACGUGGUUUCCUACGAGCUGCACGGCUCCGUGGCUGUGCCAAUGGUAUCAUAGGCAGGUCAUAGGCAACAGGUCAUAGUCUCUGAAGUCACUGGGUUUGUGAUUUUUUUUUUUCUUUAUCUGCCCACUUUUUACAGCCCAAAGGAGGAUACUGUAUAUUAAUCUUUAAACCGAGCGCUGCAACCGAUCACCUCUGCCUGUGGCAUGACCCCAGCUGGCUAAGGAACAAGCCUGGCUCUUCUCCCCAUUCAGGUGGCAGUUCCAGGGGACAGAUUAGCCUGAGAUCUGUCACCGAGAGGGGUAGGUUCAAGCCUGGUCCAACCUCAUGCCCUUCGCCAAAUGCUGCCUGGAACCCUGCAAGAGCUGUGGGGUAUAUAGGUUUCCAUUUAUCUCAGCAACUUUCUUGGCCUACCUCCUGCAUGAUGGGGAUAUUCAGCCUGGAGAAGGCUCCAGGGAGACCUCAGAGCCCCUUCCAGUCCCUCAAGGGGCUCCAGGAAAGCUGGGGAGGGACUCUUGAUCGGGGAGGG
rnacentral:lncRNA from 1 species